rnacentral:rRNA from 1 species
GCGGGGGGAGGCGCCUAAGGUGUGGAGGGUAAGGGGGGUGAAGUCGUAACAAGGUAGCCGUACCGGAAGGUGCGGCUGGAUCACCUCCUUUCUAGGGAGA